ACGACCAUAGGACGAUGAGAACUAGGCUUCCCGUUCGCUCAGCCAUAUAUAAGCAUCGUACCGGCGGAUUAGUAGUCAGGUGGGUGACCACUGGCGAAUCCCCGCUGUUGUAUGUU
rnacentral:rRNA from 2 species